GAUGAACGCUAGCGGGAGGCCUAACACAUGCAAGCCGAGCGGUAUUGUUCCUUCGGGAAUUGAGAGAGCGGCGUACGGGUGCGGAACACGUGUGCAACCUGCCUUUAUCUGGGGGAUAGCCUUUCGAAAGGAAGAUUAAUACUCCAUAACAUAUUGAUUGGCAUCAAUUAAUAUUGAAAGCUCCGGCGGAUAGAGAUGGGCACGCGCAAGAUUAGCUAGUUGGUGAGGUAACGGCUCACCAAGGCGAUGAUCUUUAGGGGGCCUGAGAGGGUGAUCCCCCACACUGGUACUGAGACACGGACCAG
rnacentral:rRNA from 1 species